rnacentral:rRNA from 1 species
CCUACGGGUGGCAGCAGUCGAGAAUCUUUCACAAUGGGGGCAACCCUGAUGGAGCGACGCCGCGUGGAGGAUAAGGUCUUCGGAUUGUAAACUCCUGUCAUGUGUGAACAAGGUUGCGAGGCUAAUACCUUUGCAAAUUGAUGGUAACACAAGAGGAAGAGACGGCUAACUCUGUGCCAGCAGCCGCGGUAAUACAGAGGUCUCAAGCGUUGUUCGGAAUCACUGGGCGUAAAGGGUGCGUAGGUGGCGUGGUAAGUCAGAUGUGAAAGCCCGGGGCUCAACCUCGGAAUUGCAUCCGAUACUGCUAUGCUCGAGUACUGAAGAGGUGACUAGAAUUCUAGGUGUAGCAGUGAAAUGCGUAGAUAUCUAGAGGAAUACCAAAGGCGAAGGCAGGUCACUGGGCAGUUACUGACACUGAGGCACGAAGGCCAAGGGAGCGAACGGGAUUAGAUACCCUUGUAGUC